GGUUCAGCUGCUAACCUUUCUUUGAUCCAAAUCCUGUCUUCACUGGCUUCAAGAAUCCUGUCUUCACUGGCUUCAAAACUGGGAUGAAGGAGGCUCCUUAGUGGAGAGCAAAGCAAAGAGAAACUCAAAUUGGAUUCAUAUUAAAGAAGAGAAGGAUGGAUUUGUUUAGACAACACAAACCUAGGAAGGGUUUGAGGGGUGAAACAAACUGGGUUAUGGAUGAACGGGGGCAAUUGGAAUGUAGAAUUGAAACAGUAGUUAACAUCUUGACCCAGUUUUUGUGACUUGGUCACUGCAGACCUUUCAGAAGGUGUGGUGCUCAUUCUUGUUAAACCAGUUGAGAAUUUCCCCAAUCCUUUGGCCCUGCACACAAGUGUAGCUGCUCUUCCAAUCAAUGGGACCUUUGUAUGCAGCAGGGCGGAAGGA
rnacentral:antisense_RNA from 1 species